CCCUGCUCACACUGUGUGUCUCUCUCUCUCUCAAAAAUAACUAAACAUUUAAAAAAAUAAUUUAAAAAAAUAAAAAAGGGACUUGAAAAAAAAAAAAGCUCUCACUGUCGAGGGCUCAGUCUUCAGGAGCAGGGCUCUGAGCAUUGCACAUCCGUGUGGCAUUUAGUCCUUAUAACCAUCAGAUGGCUGACGUGUCCAAGGCCAACCAGCUGGUCAUUGAAGAGCCACAAGUGACUCUGGAGCACCCGCUCUUGGCCACCUCUCUGCCCCAGCUGAGUGUGGAAAUGAUGAUGAUGCCCUCCCCUGCCUGGGUGGUUAUGAGCAGUAAAUGGGCCUGGGUGGAAAGGUCCUUUGGAGAGGCUUCCAGAGAAGCUAUUAUUUGAUGGCGUGGAAGAGGAGGAAGUUGCUGUGUAAAGGGUAUGCGUGGAAGGCUCUUGGAAAGAGGAGCUCAGUUUAAACUCAAGGCAGUCACCGUUCUCAGGCCUGUGAGAACCAAGCAUGUGGAUUGUGGGGGUGCCAGGCUCUGGCCUCUUACCCUGGCGCUCCGGGGUCCUGGGGGCAGGCCGGGGCCAUCCCCACCCAUCCCCUGCACUCCUGGCCGGGAGCCCAGUCCUCGUGGCCUCUCCGGCCUGGCAGUGAGGCGGAGCGUAACGAAACCCUGGUGGCUUCCCCUGAUUUUUCCCGCUGAGGAUGGAGUGCAGAGCAGACCCGGAGGGGUCUAGAGCCACGUUAGCGGCCAUUCAAGGCUUUCAGUUGUGCCGGGUCACUCGUUAGCUGCAUGGCCUUGGACAAAUGGAAAAUGGAAUUUCCAAAAUGAGGAUUCAAAUACCGACCGCGCAGGGUUGUUGUAGGAUUACAUGAGAUAAUGUGCGUAAGGUGACUCAGAUGCAGUAAACCUUGCAUAAUGAUUAAUGCUAUCAUUAGGCAGCCGUCCUUCCUUAUUACAACAUGAGGGACAGGGACCCAGACGAGGGAUGGGGACCCAGAGAUUAGAAGCAAGUCAUUCAAGGCCUCGCAGCCAGUUCGCGGCAGGUCUGGGCUUCCUCUGCAAUCAUCUCCACCCCUGCCUUGGUCAAGCCUUUUCUGAGAAUCCCUCACCCAGGGGUGAAUUGACAGGGGUGCAUUUCACACCUGAACGAUGCCCCCUCGCUCGCUCGCUCGCUUGGGCCAUGGGAUUACAAAGCUGCAGGCUGUUACUGUUUCCCAGCUCUGCCACUGAUUUGCAAACCGGGGUGAUUUGGUUGAGCUCCUCUGGACUGAGGCUCUACCCGGCUUCCUGGGAGACGGGCCUCCUGUGGGAGACAGCUGGGCUCCAAGGGAUCAGCACAUCUCUCUCUCUCUCUCUCUCUCCCUCUCUCUCCCUCUCCCUCCCCUUCCUUGAGUGAGUUUAGCAUUCCAGAGCCCCCAGCCUGCAGCCGGAAUCAGUAUCCAGAUACCACCCACUCCCAGCUCUCCCGAAUGGACCCGGACUCAUCAACAUUUCUCUGACUUGGUGACACUUAGCCCCGCCUCUGAAAAGUGCAGCCUGGGAUACAGAUCUUCUGUCCAGUUAAAGUGACUUAAAAGUAAUUCUUUUUGGAAAUCUUCACAGCCAUUCCAGAGAUCAUGACGGACACCUCGGCCCCGCGAAACAGAGCUGAGGAGUUCUGGCUCCCAUAAAGCUGUCUCUGACACCCCAAAGCCAGGCAUUGACUGACUAACAGUCUUUGCCCCCCGGGGCAAACCUUCCUGCUGGUGCCUCCGCCCCUCUGGAACCCCCGCUUCCUCCUUGUCCUCCUCCCACCCGGGAGGCCAUGGCUACUGUCCUUCCCCACUCCCCAGAGCCAGCUCUCCUUUGGCGUCCCUUUGCCCUGCUCCCAGAGCCACCCCAGGAGCAGGGGUGAGGUUAGAGACACGGUAGCAUGGGACCCUGAAGGGGCCCUCUGCCUGCCAAGCCCAGCUGGGGCAUCCAUGGAGAGUCCACACGAAUGACCCCCAGCACUUAAGCAGCGGGCCUCCAAUGCUCCAGCUGUUCCAAACACUUACCAGAUGGUAAUCUAUCAUAGCAGAUACUAUCAUUACUCCCCUUUAGAGAUGGGGAGAUUGAGACCCAGAGAGGCGAAGUAACUUGUCCAAUGCCACACAGCUUGAAACUGGCAGAUUUGAGAUUUGAGCCCAUCAUCUGGGCCAGUGUGCCACUGGAACACCGGAGACGGCCACUCCCUUACUUAAUUCCACUCACCCGUCACCUCUUCCCUUGGCCACUGACAGGUGCCUUCUGUCAUGUCUACAGCCACAUCCUCGGGACACGGCUGUGUUCUCGCUGCAAGAAAGGACAAGUGCCCGGGGCGGAGGGCCCCAGGUUGAAGCCCCUCUGCCUGCUUUCCCUGCCCCGCGGGCCCAGUCUCCUCCCCACCUGGGAACCCUUCAGGGAUGCUAUGAUCUGAACGUUUGUGUCCCCCCGCCAAAUUCAUGUGUUGAAAGCUAACCCCCAAGGUGAUGGCAUUAGGAACUGGGGCCUUUCGGAGGUGAUUAGGUCAUACACGGGCUUAGCGCCUUUAUAAAAAUGGCCCCAGAGAGAUCCCUCGCCCCGCUUCUAGCAUGUGAAGACACAACAAGAAAUCAGCAGCCUGCAACCCAGAGGACCCUCAGCCGGCCAUACUGCCACCCUGACCUUGGACUUCCAGCCUCCAGCCUCCAGAAAUGUGACAAAUAAAUUCUCGGGUUUAUAAGCCACUGACCUGGUCUGUGCCAUUUUGUUAUAGUGGCCCCAAAGGACUAAGAGUAGUGGCUUAGUGUGGCCACCUCGCUGCCAGGACGAUCUGAGGCAGCGGGUCUGGGGGCAGGUCUGGAAGCACUCUCAGCUCGGAGGGGCCGCCUGAGACCGUGGCCUGCAAACCUGCACCUGCUUCCGGGCUGAGGAUGUGAAUGGGACACCCAGAAGUGGGGGGCGGGAGGGGGUGAGGGAAGGAAUUGCCUCCAGCGCCGGCCCUACCUGUCAUCUUCUCUGCAUCAGCUGCUCUAGGAGCAGACCCUGCCCAGCCCCCUGCCACCUUCUCCUUGCCUUGUCUCCUCCAGCCCGGACCCUCUCUUCCAUCAACACACACAGCCUUGGUUCACUUCCAUCCAAUGAGGAAAUGCCCACGACACCGCUCGGCACAGGGCCCGGCAGGAAACUCUUUCUCCUCCUUCAGAACUCAACAGAGGUGUCGCUUCAGGCGGUGAGGGGCCCCCACCCCGGCUGCCACAGUGCUCUGCUCACGCUUCUCAGAAAACUUUCCUAGAGGUUCUGAUGCUGUGGGUUUGUUUGGUGUCUCUAGGCCCAGCUCCAAAGGGUGCACAGGUGUUCAGUAAGCAUUGAUUGAUUGAAGGAAUGAGUGGGAGCAGUUCCCAGGACUCCUAGAAGAACAUGGGCCAGGCUGGGCCAAGCUUGGGUUUCCCUUCCUACCUCUCCAGGCUAGCGAUACUUACCUCCAGGAGAAAACCAAAAGACAAGCAGGAGGUGGGUGCCCACAGAGGAUGGUGGGAGUGGGAAGGUACCACCCUCUAUUCAUCAACUGAACACAAUCCCGGGAGACUUUCUGGAGGAGGGCGAUGGUCUGGUGUCUCCUAACCCUCGGGGAACCAUGGCAGACAAUUUUGUAGCUUGGGGUAUCCCAUGGACAGUCCUGGGGUGCUAGUGCCGAAUCUCUCUACCUCCAAUUCCACAUUCCAGGUUCCAGGUACUCAGGUGUCUCAAGAGAGCUCUUCCUCAAUAUGAAAAAUCUAGGCCAGCUGCAAAGAAGAGAUGGUAGAUGUCUCUGCCAGCUGUCUCCUGGACAUUGGCAGGUGGCCAACACUCACAACCCAGGCAGGGCUUGCCUUGACCUGGCCUGACAAUUCAUUCUGGUCACUGUGGCAAAGGGAAUAGCUACCCAGGAGGCUUAGGCAGGUCUGUGGCUAGCUGCCCAAAUCAAUGGGAAUGCCCCAGUUACCUCUCAGGGAGGGCAAACAAUGAUGGCCUCAACACACUCAGCCCUCAGAUCAGAGAUCCAGAAGAACUUCCCAUGUCAGACCUUGCAAUGGUUCGGGGGCUACUAUACUCACCCACAGCCCUGCUUCUUGACCCCUUCUCUCUACUCCAUCCUAGUCUGACAUGGAUUAGAUAGUAGAGACACUCAGCAAAAACUCUGUCUUGAUCCAAUAUGGCGCUCAGCGUGGGGAAUCUGGGGUCCAAAUAGGAGCUGGAUAAUUCCCAUGUCUGCAUAGGCUCUUGGUGUGAAGAAGUGUCAAUAUCACGGAGUCCAUUCUUCCUACUUGGUAUUCUAAGGGUUGAGUUUCCUAUAUAACAUUUCCAGAGCAGAGUGGUUACUCAGUCUUUGCGUGAACUCCUCCAGUGAUAGGGACCUUACCACCUUACAAAGCAGCUAGUUUCAUCCCCCGGCAGUUCUCAUUGCUGGAGAGUUCACCUUUACAUGAUCCUUCCUUACACCGUGUUGCAUCUGUUUCCUGCUCUCUCCGUCUAUGGUCCCCACAGAAGAUGGCCAUUCCCUGUCCUUCAUGGCUUUUCAGAGAUUUGAAGGUAGCUACUGGGUCACUUCCUCUAAGAAAGAACAUCAUGGGGAUUAACAGGAGGAAAAUCCAGUCCUUUCAGACCUCAGGGAGGGUUUGCCCUGCUACAGAGAAACUGCUUUUCUAUCCUUCUCUAUGGGCCUGUGCACGGGCCCAGGGCAACAAUAUGGUGAGUCUCUAGGCUCUUUGGACUACAGACACAUAGCAAGCACAUAGCCUUGCUAGGUGGGAGAACCUCAGCCUACUGUCUUUGUCCCAGGGGAGUGUUUCUGGGUCCCGGGAACCUGGCGAUAAGGACAUGGUGUCCUAGAGAGAGAGAGCUCUGUACUCAGAAUUUGACCACAAGGCCCCCAGUCUUGGUUCCACCCCUUCCUGGUUGGGAUCCUAUAAGCAGGUUGCUUAAAUUCUGAGCUUUAGUUUUGCCCUUUGUAAAAUGGGAAAAUAUCUCAUUGUGUUGCUAUGAGGAUCAAAUGACAUCAUACAUAGGAAGAUGCUUUGUCAACCAAAACAUACUCUACAAAUGAUUAGCCAAUUCAAGUGGUUAGUAAAAGGGCUUGCAGAGCUUAGAGCUUCGUUGGUCUGGGCCUUCCUAGCGGAUGAGUGUCUGGAGCACAGCUGGUUUUAAGAAGGCUUCUGACUCCUUCUCAAACCCCAUGGCUGGUCUGUGGCACCUGGAGGAGUUCUCUACUGAGGGUUCAUGGCCCCCAUCCUGUAUGACUCCUGCAGGGCCGCUGUGCCCACAUCUCCAGAGAGGACUCCGGCCCAAGUACCUUAGCCCAGGCUUUGGAGACCCGGAAAGAGUGGUUUCUCCGUCCUGAAACACCCUAAUAAAGUCCUUACAUGUAAUGCAUCACUCUUGAGCAAUCUGAAGGACAUCACGGUGGAUCCCAAGCAACAUGUUGAUAUCCUCACGGAGCCAAGCUCGAGGGUGAGCCCUGUUCCCCACACAGGAGUGAUCGUCUGGCAGCAGAGGCUCAGGGUGAGGACGCCAUCUUGCCCUGGUUGCAAAGGACAUUGAGGUGAGGCUGCCUCAGCCUUCACUGUCCUGGCCUUCCUUUCCACGCCAUCCGUGCCCCGACUCCACCCGUAUUAGGUAAUAUUAUCCACGUUACACAAAUGAGGAAAGUGAGGCUUCAGAGGUUUAUAACUUGGGCUCCAUCACCCGACUAGUGAGCGAGGGAGGCAAACUUCGAAUCCAGAUCUGACAGCUAGCUCCAUGCUCUCCACUGGAUCAUCCUGCCGCGGAAAGUCUACACCAGCCUGGGGAUUACAGCCUAGAACACCUCAUCUGGGCUGCUAACCUCAGAUAGACAUCAAAGAGACAUUGUCAUGGGAGAAUGGCUUUUUGAGAUCAGAGCUUCUUAUCAGCUGAAUUGUAUUUCACCCCCCUUCCCCAAAUUCAUAUGUUGAAGUCCUAAUGUGACUGAAUUUGGAGACAGGGUCUUUAAAGAGCUGAUUAAGUUAAAACGAGGUCAUCUGGGCCCUAAUCCCAUGUGACCGGUAUGCUUAUAAGAAGAGAUCAGAACACAGCCACAGGGAAGGCCAUGUGAAGACAGAGAGAAGGCAGCCAUCGGGAAAACCAAGGGGAGAGCCUUCAAAACUCCUGAAGAUACCCUUGAUCUUGGACAUCUCUCUCCAGAACUGUGAGAAAAUAAAUAUCUGUGUUUAAGCCAUCCGGUCGGUGAUGGCAGCCCUUCAGAUUAACUCAGAGCCCCUUUUAAAAAUCAUCUUUGUGGGGUGCCUGGGUGGCUCAGUCAGUUAAGCGUCCAACUUCAGCUUGGGUCAUGAACUCGCGGUUCGUGAGUUGGAGCCCC